GUUUCUGAUUUAUCAGAAAAACCAAUAUUACACACUUCUGUUUUUUCGACAUUUAGUAAAUAUCAGUAAAUUUUUGUGCAGAUGUUCGAUGGAAUAGCAACUAUUGUCUAGGUGUCAUUU